GUUUUAGUAGUUUAUAAACUUAAAACAUUGAUCUUGUAAAUCAAAAAAAGAAAAUCUCUAAAACU
rnacentral:tRNA from 1 species